CAAGCAGGACAGACAGCCGCGUGGCCGGGGAAAACCCGGUCAUGAGGAAAGUCCGGGCUCCACAGGGCAAGGAUAACGGGUAACGCCCGCCGAAGGCGACUUCAGGAAAAGUGCAACAGAAAUAAACCGCCGCGCCGUCCGGUGCGGUAAGGAUGGAAAGGCGAGGUAAGAGCUCACCCGCCGGCUGGAGACUGUCCGGCGCUGUAAACUCUAUCCGGAGCAACACCGUGGGAGAACGUAAGGCCGGCCCGGCUGUUCUCAAGGAGGUGGCUGGAGCGGUCUGGCAACGGGCCGCCUAGAUAGAUGGCUGUCAAAUACAGAACCCGGCUUACAGUCCUGGUUGCACC
rnacentral:RNase_P_RNA from 1 species